GCAUGCGUGGCCGAGCGGCAAAGGCACCUGGCUGUAACCCAGCGGUCACUACACGUGGCUCCGUAGGUUCGAGUCCUACCGCAUGCA
rnacentral:tRNA from 1 species